UGGCAUUACGCCAUACACUGGCCGACUAGUCAGCGUGACAGCCCUGUCAUUUGGGUGCAUGUCACAAAUAUCUAUAGAAUGGGACAUAUUGAGCCUUUUGGUACUUUGAGGAGCUUGACCUUCCUGUAAUUCAGGUUACGGUCUCUGCUGUUUGGCUAAUCCCUGUGACCACCCUGUAAUCAGGGUACAGGUUGCAUCUCUCUUUUGAAAUCUUAUGGAAUUGGAACCAUUUCAGUAACAUGGGCAGUUUGACCUCCCUGUAACUAGGGUUUGAGUCUUGGAGGCCCUUUGGGGUUCUUGGCAUUGUGCUGUCUUCACAGCCCUGAGGCGAGGGACUGCCCUGUCUUUCAGGGCUCUGGUCUUUGCCUUCUAGUCUCUUGGCACUAGGUCAAGUGCAGCCCACUGAUCUGAAUGAGCACCCUGUAAACAGGGUACAGGUCUCAUCAGACACUUUUUAUGGUGCCCCCAUGAGACUGUGUCCAGAGUCCUGGCCCUUUGCACUGCGCUUUCAACUUGCCUGGAAUUGUGCAGCCAAGUCUCCUGCUUUCUGCUCCGCUUACUGUGCUCUUGGAGACCCGACCUCCUGCUGCUGUUGCUGACAGCUCGAAGCACAAGUGGCCAAGAAGGAAGUGUCAGGAAUGUCAAGCAAAGAAGAGUACAGAGGACAAGUCACUGAAGAUGGAGGAGAAGGCAAGGGACUCUGGGCGCAGUAACCUCUCUGUAUCAGGCCUCAGGUCAUGUAAUUACACUCUACGGGGAUCUCGAGCCUGGAAUUGUGCAGCCAAGUCUCCUGCUUUCUGCUCCUCUUACUGUGCUCUUGGAGACCCGACCUCCGGCAGCUGUUGCUGGAAAAUGAGACAAAACAGAAGCACCCAACCGAAAAAUGAGAAAAGAGACGCUAACAGCCUGUGAAGAAGAAGAAAGGAAACAAAUUCUGAGAGCAAAUUUUGUUGUGUGAUCUAUUUCAAAGGUUUAUAUCAUGUCCAGCACCAUGGCAUAUGAGUGCACUGGAAAGAUAAAUUGAACAAAGUGACUCACAUCUGUCACCUUUCAAAUGCUGUUUUAUGUUAAUAGGCAAUAUACAACAAACUCUGAAGCUCAAUUACUUGUGGCACCACAGCAUAGCCUGAAGAUUUCCUGCUAUGACCUUUCAGUUCUGUAACUACCUGUGCCACAUGAGAACUGAUAUAUCAUCUUAUUUUAUAAUCAUGUAUGUCCUCUCUAAUUGUCUUUUAUUAAUGAGUCCAUAAAGCAUACUUUGUGCAUCAUACUUUCACAUUCUAGUAGAAAAGUGGGAUGUAUUUUUUAUUUAAUUAAUCUUUACAAUUCUUUGACGAGUCAUUUUCAUGUCAUUGCUUAGUGAUUUGGACUUCUGUUUAGCCAUUUCCUUAAAGUCACUGUAAGCUACAACAAGUUGUUCAAAGCUGAAAAACUGUUUGAAAAAGAUGGAAGAAAACUGAGAUGUAGGGUGGCCACCCUAAAGAGUGUUGGAAAACCUCUUUCAAUAGGCACACUAUUCACCUUUCUCCUUUUUCUCAGCCCAUUUUUUAUACCACAACAGUACCAUAGCAAUGAUACCAUAUGGAAUUAUACUAAGUUUCUACCUAUCGCCAGUUAGAAAUUGUCAGUACAACUGGUUAUUUGCAUCUAAAUGUUGAUUUUAUGUAGAUAUGUAACCAAAUAUUUUAAAAGUAUUUUAACAAGGUGACUACCUGAUUUUAUGUAAAAGAGUUACACACAUCUUAGAAAAUGUGUUCCUUUGACUUAAGUGUGUGACUUUUAUAUAGUUGGGCGACUAAUGCUUUUGUAUUUAUUGUUUUUACUAACAGGUUUGUCACUAGGCACAAAGGAAUAAUUGUGAAUCUGUAAUGCAGAGAUUUUAAACACACAAGCACUUCUAUUAUUAAGAAAUAAAUCAUAAUUUCCUACUGGAAAUGCAAAGAUGUAACUGAAGGGAGGGCAUGUGUUUGUAUUCUCCACUUACCCCAAGCUCCCCGCAAAAAAACUUCAAAAAAGUUAACGUUGAAAAGAUUAACAUUUACUCCAGAUACUGUCUAACUUCAUAUUUUUAAAGCUCUGUAUCUCUCACGCAUCGCUAAAAACAAGCAACCAAAACUGAAUGUUGUUCUGGAAACUGGCAGUUACUGCCCGCACUUCACAACUUUCAAACACCUACUCUACUUCAACGGUCACACCGACCAAACUGCACCACACGUUCAAUUUUAACUUUGCACCUAUUGUGUCAGAACAGUUAGAGUAUUUUUUGGUAGUUGUGUAUAUUGAUGUACGUGGUAAUAGUUGUGUUUUAAUGGAUUUUUAUGCUUAUUGAAUUAAGUGGAUUCUUGAGGAUGAUGAUAUGGAUGUUUUAGGUAGGUAUUUUUCUGUGAAGUGUUAGUAUUUUUGUAGAGGCGCAAUAUUUUGUGAUGAUGACUGUUUCUCAGGUAUUGGUUUACAGUGAAUUGUUGAAAAUCUUAGAUGUUUUUGCAUUUGUAUAUUAUUAGAUGUACUUAGGGUGCAAAGUUGAGGUUGCCUGUUUGGUGCAAUUUUAUUGGUGUGAAAGUUAAUUUAGGGUAGGUGUUUGAAAGCACUGAGGUUUGAAUUUUAAGCUCAACAGGGAUCCAGGACCUACCUGGCUACCUCAGUUCUUACCGUCAUUACUAAUUCCAAAAUCUGGGAUGAAGAUGACCCAGAAGAAUAAAGAUAUCUUCAGAGAUUUUCAAAAGUUAACAUUUCUUCAGCUGUUGGAGAUCACUAAAACCUUAUUGAGCUUUUUGAAGUGCAAUAACUAAAAAACUUUUUACUUCUAUUUCUGCCAGUUAAGUGUUGAACAAUGAUCUUUCUUAAAAGAUUUACACUGGUAGUUAAUUCUGUUCUGUGCUAAGGUCUUGCUAAUAUCACCAUUUUAUGAUGUGUGAAAUGAAUUCACUAGAUUUGAUUAUACCUACUUGAUAAAAAUUGGAAUAUUCCAUGUUAA